rnacentral:rRNA from 1 species
ACCAGACUCCUACGGGAGGCAGCAGUGGGGGAUAUUGCACAAUGGGGGGAACCCUGAUGCAGCGACGCCGCGUGGGUGAAGAAGCGCCUCGGCGCGUAAAGCCCUGUCAGCAGGGAAGAAAAUGACGGUACCUGAAGAAGAAGCCCCGGCUAACUACGUGCCAGCAGCCGCGGUAAUACGUAGGGGGCAAGCGUUAUCCGGAUUUACUGGGUGUAAAGGGGGCGCAGACGGCGAUGCAAGCCAGGAGUGAAAGCCCGGGGCCCAACCCCGGGACUGCUCUUGGAACUGCGUGGCUGGAGUGCAGGAGGGGCAGGCGGAAUUCAUGGUGUAGCGGUGAAAUGCGUAGAUAUCAGGAGGAACACCGGUGGCGAAGGCGGCCUGCUGGACUGCAACUGACGUUGAGGCCCGAAAGCGUGGGGAGCAAACAGGAUUAGAUACCCAGUA